GCCAAAAUUCUAGUCCUAAUUCAUACAUAUGUAAAAUUACUUCCACAUAACUUAAAUAAAACAUUUCAACUUUUUAGUAAAGGCGAUUGAAAAAUAACUUAGAACCAUAAAAACAGUACCGCAAGGGAAAAGUGAAAUAAAAAUGAAACAGAUAUAAAGCACAAAAAAGCAGAGAUAUAACCUCGUACCUUUUGCAUCAUGAUUUAACUAGUCUAAUCAAGCAAAAAGACUUUAAAGUUUGUCCUCCCGAAACUAAGCGAGCUACUUCAAGGCAGCUUAUUGAGCCAACCCGUCUCUGUUGCAAAAGAGUGGGAAGACCUUCAAGUAGCGGUGAUAAGCCUAA
rnacentral:rRNA from 1 species